rnacentral:rRNA from 1 species
AGCGUGGAGACAGGUGGUGCAUGGCUGUCGUCAGCUCGUGUCGUGAGAUGUUGGGUUAAGUCCCGCAACGAGCGCAACCCUCACCCCUUGUUGCCAUCAGGUCACGCUGGGCACUCUAGAGGAACUGCCCCGGUCAACGGGGAGGAAGGCGGGGAUGACGUCAAGUCAUCAUGCCCCUUACGUCCUGGGCUGCACACGUGCUACAAUGGCCGGUACAAAGGGAUGCCACACCGCGAGGGAGAGCUAAACCCAAAAAGCCGGUCUAAGUUCAGAUUGGAGUCUGCAACUCGACUCCAUGAAGGAGGAAUCGCUAGUAAUCGCGUAUCAGCACGACGCGGUGAAUACGUUCCCGGGCCUUGUACACACCGCCCGUCACACCACGAAAGCCUGCUGUACUCGAAGUCGCUGAG